UUUCUCUACGAUGAAUGAAUGGUACUGUAGGGAUAGGUGGGUUUUCUCUAGGGUGAAUGAAUGGUACUGUAGAGAUAGGUGGGUUUUCUCUAGGAUGAAUGAAUGGUACU